rnacentral:rRNA from 1 species
AUUGAACGCUGGCGGCAGGCCUAACACAUGCAAGUCGAGCGAGCGGCGGACGGGUGAGUAAUGUAUGGGGACUGCCUGAUAGAGGGGGAUAACUACUGGAAACGGUGGCUAAUACCGCAUACUAUCGGAUAACCCAUAUGGGAUUAGCUAGUCGGUGGGGUAAAGGCUCACCUAGGCGACGAUCCCUAGCUGGUCUGAGAGGGUGAUCGGCCACACUGGGACUGAGACACGGCCCAGACUCCUACGGAGGCAGCAGUGGGGAAUAUUGGACAAUGGGCGCAAGCCUGAUGGAGCCAUGCCGCGUGUAUGAAGAAGGCCUUAGGGUUGUAAAGUACUGUCAGCGGGGAGGCGGUACCCGCAGAAGAAGCAACGGCUAACUCCGUGCCAGCAGCCGCGGUAAUAC